rnacentral:rRNA from 1 species
GCCUGCCUACGGGAGGCAGCAGUAGGGAAUAUUGCUCAAUGGGGGAAACCCUGAAGCAGCAACGCCGCGUGGAGGAUGAAGGUUUUCGGAUUGUAAACUCCUUUUGUUAGAGAAGAUAAUGACGGUAUCUAACGAAUAAGCACCGGCUAACUCCGUGCCAGCAGCCGCGGUAAUACGGAGGGUGCAAGCGUUACUCGGAAUCACUGGGCGUAAAGAGCGCGUAGGCGGGAUAGCAAGUCAGAUGUGAAAUCCUAUGGCUUAACCAUAGAACUGCAUUUGCAACUGUUAUUCUUGAGUAUGGUAGG